rnacentral:rRNA from 1 species
UACGUAGGGGGCAAGCGUUGUCCGGAAUUACUGGGCGUAAAGGGCGCGUAGCGGCCGCCUAAGUCAGACGUGAAAUCCCUCGGCUCAACCGGGGAACUGCGUCUGAUACUGGGUGGCUUGAAUUCGGGAGAGGGAUGCGGAAUUCCAGGUGUAGCGUGAAAUGCGUAGAUAUCUGAGAACACCGGUGGCGAAGGCGGCGAGAUC